rnacentral:rRNA from 1 species
UACGAAGGGGGCUAGCGUUGCUCGGAAUCACUGGGCGUAAAGAGCUCGUAGGCGGUCUGUCGCGUCGGAUGUGAAAACUCGGGGCUCAACCCCGGGCCUGCAUUCGAUACGGGCAGACUAGAGUACGGCAGGGGAGACUGGAAUUCCUGGUGUAGCGGUGAAAUGCGCAGAUAUCAGGAGGAACACCGGUGGCGAAGGCGGGUCUCUGGGCCGAAACUGACGCUGAGGAGCGAAAGCGUGGGGAGCAAACAGG